CAGCAGCCGCGGGAAUAUGAAGGGUGCAAGCGUUAAUCGGAAUUACUGGGCGUAAAGCGUGCGUAGGCGGUGAGUUAAGUCUGCCGUGAAAUCCCCGGGCUCAACCUGGGAAUGGCAAUGGAUACUGGCAAGCUAGAGUGUGUCAGAGGAUGGUGGAAUUCCCGGUGUAGCGGUGAAAUGCGUAGAGAUCGGGAGGAACAUCAGUGGCGAAGGCGGCCAUCUGGGACAACACUGACGCUGAGGCACGAAAGCGUGGGGAGCAAACAGGAUUAGAUACCCCUGUAGUCCCUGUCUCUUAUAC
rnacentral:rRNA from 1 species